rnacentral:rRNA from 1 species
GGCAGUCAGAGGCGAUGAAGGACGUGGUAAUCUGCGAAAAGCUCGGGGGAGUCGAUAAACAGACUUUGAUCCCGAGAUGUCCGAAUGGGGAAACCCACCCGCUUGCGGGUAUCGUAUGGUGAAUACAUAGCCAUACGAGGCGAACCCGGGGAACUGAAACAUCUAAGUACCCGGAGGAAAAGAAAUCAACCGAGAUUCCCUAAGUAGCGGCGAGCGAAAGGGGAUUAGCCCUUAAGUUGAUUAGGUGUUAGUAGAAGACUCUGGAAAGGGUCGCCGUAGAGAGUGAUAGCCUCGUAUACGAAAACGCCUUAUCAAUGAAAUCGAGUAGGACGGGACACGUGUUAUCCUGUCUGAAUAUGGGGGGACCAUCCUCCAAGGCUAAAUACUCCUGACUGACCGAUAGUGAACCAGUACCGUGAGGGAAAGGCGAAAAGAACCCCUGUGAGGGGAGUGAAAUAGAUCCUGAAACCGUGUACGUACAAGCAGUGGGAGCCGACUUGUUCGGUGACUGCGUACCUUUUGUAUAAUGGGUCAACGACUUAUUUUCAGUAGCAAGGUUAAGCGAAUAGUGGAGCCGUAGGGAAACCGAGUCUUAAUAGGGCGUUUAGUUGCUGGGAAUAGACCCGAAACCGGGCGAUCUAUCCAUGAGCAGGUUGAAGGUUGGGUAACACUAACUGGAGGACCGAACCCACGUACGUUGAAAA